rnacentral:rRNA from 1 species
CAAGUCGCACGUGAAAGUCUUCGGAUGAGUAAAGUGGCGCACGGGUGAGUAAUAUUUAGGUAACAUACCUUUUCGCUGGGGAUAACUACGGGAAACUGUAGCUAAUACCGAAUGAUUCGAUGGAUUCUGCGGAUGAGAUCGAUAAAGCCGUAAGGCGCGAAAAGAUUGGCCUGAACCUGAUUAGCUAGUUGGUGAGGUAAUGGCUCACCAAGGCUACGAUCGGUAGCUGGUCUAAGAGGAUGAUCAGCCACACUGGUACUGGAACACGGACCAGACUCCUACGGGAGGCAGCAGUUAGGAAUUUUGCGCAAUGGGGGAAACCCUGACGCAGCAAUACCGCGUGUAGGAUGAAGGCCUUCGGGUUGUAAACUACUUUCGACAGGGAAAAAACAAAUGAUGGUACCUGGAGAAGAAGCACCGGCUAACUACGUGCCAGCAGCCGCGGUAAUACGUAGGGUGCAAGCGUUACUCGGAUUUAUUGGGCGUAAAGCGCAUGUAGGUUGUUUCGUAAGUCUGAUGUGAAAUCCCUGGACUCAAUUCAGGAACUGCAUUGGAUACUGCGAGACUAGAGUAUGGGAGAGGUAGGCGGAAUUCCUGGUGUAGAGGUGAAAUUCGUAGAUAUCAGGAGGAACAACAGAGGCGAAGGCGGCUUACUGGACCAUAACUGACACUCAGAUGCGACAGUGUGGGGAGCAAACAGGAUUAGAUACCCUGGUAGUCCACACCGUAAACGAUGGAUACUAGAUGUCGGAAGUCCUUACCCUUUCGGUGUCGUAGCUAACGCGUUAAGUAUCCCGCCUGGGGAGUACGGUCGCAAGAUUAAAACUCAAAGAAAUUGACGG